GCCCCUAUAGUUUAUGUGGAUAAAACAACUGCUUGGUACGCAGUGAGAAUUUGGUUCGAGUCCAAAUGGCGGCUCCA
rnacentral:tRNA from 1 species